rnacentral:rRNA from 1 species
CCCUUAGAGUUUGAUCCUGGCUCAGAUUGAACGCUGGCGGCAUGCCUAACACAUGCAAGUCGAACGGCAGCACGUUCUAGUUUACUAGAAGGGUGGCGAGUGGCGAACGGGUGAGUAACGCGUAGGAAUAUGCCUUGUAGAGGGGGAUAACUUGGGGAAACUCAGGCUAAUACCGCAUAAUAUCUGAGGAUGAAAGCUGGGGACCUUCGGGCCUGGCGCUAUAAGAGUAGCCUGCGUACGAUUAGCUAGUUGGUAGGGUAAGGGCCUACCAAGGCGACGAUCGUUAGCUGGUCUGAGAGGAUGAUCAGCCACACUGGAACUGAGACACGGUCCAGACUCCUACGGGAGGCAGCAGUGGGGAAUAUUGGACAAUGGGGGCAACCCUGAUCCAGCAAUGCCGCGUGUGUGAAGAAGGCCUGAGGGUUGUAAAGCACUUUCAGUGGGGAGGAGGAUUGCUAGGUUAAGAGCUAAGUAAUUGGACGUUACCCACAGAAGAAGCACCGGCUAACUCCGUGCCAGCAGCCGCGGUAAUACGGAGGGUGCGAGCGUUAAUCGGAAUUACUGGGCGUAAAGGGUGCGUAGGUUGUUUUUUAAGUUAUCUGUGAAAUCCCUGGGCUUAACCUGGGCAUGUCAGAUAAGACUGGAAGACUCGAGUAUGGG